rnacentral:rRNA from 1 species
AUUGAACGCUGGCGGCAGGCCUAACACAUGCAAGUCGAACGAGUGGCGGACGGGUGAGUAAUGUCUGGGACACUGCCCGAUGGAGGGGGAUAACUACUGGAAACGGUAGCUAAUACCGCAUACCAUCGGAUGUGCCCAGAUGGGAUUAGCUAGUAGGUGGGGUAACGGCUCACCUCGGCGCCGCUCCCUCGCUGGUCUGAGAGGAUGACCAGCCACACUGGAACGGAGACACGGUCCAGACUCGUACGGGAGGCAGCAGUGGGGAAUAUUGCACAAUGGGCGCAAGCCUGAUGCAGCCAUGCCGCGUGUAUGAAGAAGGCCUUCGGGUUGUAAAGUACGUUCAGCGAGGAGGCGUUACUCGCAGAAGAAGCACCGGCUAACUCCGUGCCAGCAGCCGCGGUAAUAC